AUUGAACGCUAGCGGGAUGCCUUACACAUGCAAGUCGAACGGAGUGGCGAACGGGUGAGUAAUGUAUCGGAACGUGCCCAGCACUUCGGGAUAAGCCUGGGAAACUGGGUCUAAUACCGGAUAGUGUGGGAUGGGCCCGCGGCCUAUCAGCUUGUUGGUGGGGUAAUGGCCUACCAAGGCGGCGACGGGUAGCCGGCCUGAGAGGGUGGACGGCCACAUUGGGGCUGAGACACGGACCAGACUCCUACGGGAGGCAGCGGUGGGGAAUAUUGCACAAUGGGCGGAAGCCUGAUGCAGCGACGCCGCGUGGGGGAUGACGGCCUUCGGGUUGUAAACCCCUUUCACCAUCGACGCGGUAGAUGGAGAAGAAGCACCGGCUAACUACGUGCCAGCAGCCGCGGUAAUAC
rnacentral:rRNA from 1 species